GCGGAUGUAGUCGAAUGCUAAAAUUUCUCUUUGCCAAGGAGAAGACGUGAGUUCAAUUCCUGCUAUCUGCC
rnacentral:tRNA from 1 species